rnacentral:rRNA from 1 species
AUGAGGGGCCCAAUCCGCCUCCGCGCCUCCCCACGUCUAGGUCGAGAGGCGCCUCCACCACGACCUCAGCCGCUUCGAGCGAGAUGGUUCCCCUUGCUGCCGCCGUUGGGGGCGGAGAACCUGCCUCACCCUCAGGAUGUGCCGACUUUCUCCAUCCAAGUGGAUAUUACCGAGGAGUCAUUUGACCAUCUAAUGGCAUUGCUAUCCAAGAGGAUGCGUGAUGUAUGUUCAUUGAUGCUCGGUGAGCAUCCUGUCACACCACCGCUCGUCGAUGGCAAAGAUCUAUUCCACAUUGUUAAACUUUGCAAAGGAGCUGACGGCGUUGAGGUGCUGUUCCGAGAGUCCGAUAUAUACUUCUCUGGUUUUCGGCCUGAAAAAGACCCGAAAUAUUACGUGUUCAAUGAUGUGGAAAUUCCAAGCUGGAUUCCAUCCGAGAUUCUUCCCUAUGAUUCGGGCUAUCAUAAAACUGUCGCGGACAUCAGUUUGGGGCCUCAUUGUUUCCCUGCGACUUUUAAACAUCUGUUUAACUUCACUCCAAAAACUUUCAGAACUCAAACUGCAGACAGGCAAAAUGCAGUUCAUUGGUCAAUGGUAAAUUUGUCUGAAACCAGGCGAAUCAGAUCUAUGGAACGAAAGGUGAAACGACUCUUGAGGAUUGGCAGAGUUGAUACUGUUGGAGCUUCAUUGGAUGCUAAAGUGCAUGGUUGGGGUCAUGAGAGUUCUGUCUUGUUCGCUGCUGCAAGUGAUGAUGUAAACUGGGAGCAUAUAGGAUGUGGCGAGGAUCUUAUUACACUCAAGUUCAACCGAGAUGCACUUCCAAUAAUAAUUGGGCGGCUGAAAAGAGCAGCAGAGGCAGCGGCUGCGACGCUCAAUGAGAUAACUAUUCUCAUCAAGACCCUUUCCUCCAUAGACUCUAACCAAGCUCGCAACUGGGAGCAGCUCCACUACUACAGUCAGCUCCCCAACUUCCAUGGCAUAUCUUUUGAACUAAGGCAAGCUGCUGGUCUAUUGCUUAAAAACAAUUUGCAAUUGGCUUUUAAUGCUAUGCCUCCUUCAUCCCAAAAGUACGUCAAGUAUGAAUUGUUGACUUGUAUUGGUACACGUCAUAAGCAAAUUAGAUCAACAGCUUGCACUGUUAUAAGUGUACUUCUUCAAAUUGUUGGGUUUGACAAAUGGGCUGACUUGUUUGAGACUCUGAGACUGUGCUUUGAUAGUCAAGACCUGAACCAAAAGGAAGGUGCUGCAGAAACUAUCUACAAGAUAUGUGAGAACUUUCCUGAAGAUUCUAUUGUUGAUGCUGGUUUGCGCGAUCUACUAAUAUAUGACUUUGUGCCAAGACUCAUGCAGCUUUUUGAAAGUCCUCAUAUGAGUCUUAGAAGACUAUCUCUGCUUUGUGUGAACCAGUGCAUCUUCGUGGUUCCAUCUGUGUGUUCAUCAUGGACUCUGCUCAUGGAACGCCAGUUAAUUCCAGAGCUAUAUUUGGAAACUGCCAUUAAUUUCGUCCUGCUAGCUAGCAAUGAAUUGGAUGAAGAUCUUGCUCUGGAGGCCUGUAAAUUUUGGUACGCUUUCUGUCAACAUGUAUUAACCACCUGUAAACUUUUCAGGUCGUACUGUGAUUCCAGCAAAGGGUUGCAGGAGGUCUUGCCAGAAUUAAUCCCAACUUUGGUUCAAAAAAUGGUUUAUACUGAUCAUGAUGAUUCUCUGGCUGAUAUUAAGGAAUAUGAAUCCAUUUCCAUCAGGGACCAGGAUCUGAAGCGCCACUUCCAUGCGUCUCGAUUACAUAGAUUUGAAACUGGGAAGGAGAAUGAUAAGCUCGCUCAGACAGAUGAUGAUGGAUGGAAGGAUAGGGAAGUUGCUGUUCUAUGUCUUAAUACUAUAGCAGAGGGAUGCAUGACUGGAUUGUAUUCCCACACUCCGGAGAUUUUCCACAUGCUGAUCCUGUUACUUGAUGAUAAGUUUCCUCUUGUAAGGAGAAUCACCUGUCAAACCAUUUCCCGAUAUAGCAAGUUCAUUGUUCAGAGCUGUGACCAUGAACAAUUUGCUAAGAUCAUCGUGGGCCUGCUUAGAAGGAUAUUAGAUACUAACAAAAAAGUUCAGGAGGCUGCACGUUCUGCCUUCAUGACGAUUGGGAAGGAUGCUGCAGAAUCAAAUGGAAUGGAAAUUAUUUUGGAGCAACUCAUCUUAGAACUUGGGAAACACCAGAUGCGAGACCUUUGGUUAAUUUCUGAGGCACUUUGCAGUCUUGCUAAUGUUGUUGGAGCAAAGCUAAACAAGGUUCAACAUGCUGAUGAACUUCUCGCAGAACAUCUGCACAUAGUUGUUCCUCCAUUGAUCGAGAAGUGGCAGCAACUUCAAAAAUCUAAUAAAGAUAUCUUGCCCCUACUUGAAUGCUUUACAUCUAUCGCACAGGCAGCGGGAUCCGGAUUUUUUCAGUUUGCUGAGCCAGUGUUUCAGAACAGCCUAGAUCUUAUCAAGUUCCAGCAGUUGGCAAAUGCUGAUCCUGCCGCACCUCACGAUAAAGAUUUCAUCGUCUACUCAUUGGACCUUUUGUUAGUACUUGCAGAAGCACUUGGUGCUGAUACUGAAAGCCUGGUUUGCCAUACACAUGUACUUCCAAGACUUGAAGAAUUCCUUGAAGUUGCAGCAGAGCAACUGAUAAUGCAAUCCGUGAAGGCUGCACCAUCUGUAGCAAACAAUGCAUGCUGGAUCAUCGGGGAACUGGCAAUGAAGUUCGGCCAAGAAACUUCAUCACCAGUGGUGACCACCAUUCUAUCACGGCUGCUUCCUAUUCUAAGGUCUUCAGAGGGACUCGACAAUAUAGUUGUUGGAAACACAGCGAUAACUCUUGGAAGGCUUUCCUUGGUCUGGCCAAUGACCGUGUCAGCUCAUCUUAAACGGUCUGGUACCUACUCAACAGGACAGAAUAUGCAGUCUGUCAGCAAGUAG